GGUGAGAAUCCCGUCCACCGAUUGACUAAGGUUUCCAGAGGAAGGCUCGUCCGCUCUGGGUUAGUCGGGUCCUAAGCUGAGGCCGACAGGCGUAGGCGAUGGAUAACAGGUUGAUAUUCCUGUACCACCUAGCAUCGUUUUAAUCGAUGGGGGGACGCAGUAGGAUAGGCGAAGCGUACGAUUGGAUUGUACGUCUAAGCAGUGAGAUUGAGUGUUAGGCAAAUCCGGCACUCUUAAGAUUGAGCUGUGAUGGGGAGAGGAAAUUGUUUCCUCGAGUCGUUGAUUUCACGCUUAGAAGUGAGAAUGCCGGUGUGAGUAGCGAAAGACGGUGAGAAUCCCGUCCACCGAUUGACUAAGGUUUCCAGAGGAAGGCUCGUCCGCUCUGGGUUAGUCGGGUCCUAAGCUGAGGCCGACAGGCGUAGGCGA
rnacentral:rRNA from 1 species